UGUCCUUUUUUCCACCUUUUUUGUCUUUAGACGCAGCGCACGCGUGGGGAGCGGAUUUCUUUUUCCCCGCCCAAGCUGGCCUCGCGCAGCCAGAGGCGGCAGCACCGCGCACGCGGGACCCGGGGAUGUGCAGGCCGCGGGUCGUCGCGGCGGCAGCACGCGGCUCGCUUCGUUUCCCCCCCCUCCUCACGCGGCUAAGCUCGCGCUCGAGGGACACGACACGGCCGCCGCUGCCGCUGGGUCUCCAGGGGCCGCAGGGGGGACACGGGGGAGCGUGCUUUAAUUGAUUCAGGCGCUCGUUUAAGUGACACACACACACACACACACACACACAUAACAUACUCUUGCUGCACUGGAAGCAAAGGCCUACGGCUUUUCAAACUCCAAACGUCCCACAUGUCCUGUAGGCGCUGCGAACCGAGCAAACAAAAAUACUUAUAUACAUAUAUAUUUUUUAAACCCAUUGACUUCUCGUCAAUAGGAUAAUGAAGAAACAAGAUCCCAUUGUAGAGCAACUUCUCCUGGGUGACAUCACAUGUCACAGUGUUAUUCCCCUGCUUUCUGUGUGCUUGAUCUCUUUUUGCUGCAACAUUUAUUGCCUUCAUGACAGUGUUUAACAGCUGAUGCAAGCUAUGCAACCCAAUCCAGGAAGUGAAAGCCCUGAGAAAAGUGCAGUGUUGUAGAUAAAUCCAUGUAAUGUUAGGGGUGUGUGUGUGUUGUGUGAAGUGACAGUGGGUCGGGUCACGUUUAUUUACAUUCUGUCACAACACCACUUACUCACUCACUCAUUCAAUCAGCCGCAAGCUUCUCUCCAUGCCUGCAUUCCACUUUCAGGUUUAUGCGCAGGCUUCUUCUAUUGUGGUAUAUGCAUAUGAGCCUUAAUCGUUCAUAGGCGCGCUCCGGGCUCCGGUGUGUGCACGGUACCUGGCGCGGUUAGCGCUGCAGUUUCUCGAGGCGCUGCCGGCGAGUUUAUGUCGCUCGCGUUCUCGUCCAGCUCGCCGUCGUCUUCGUCUUCUUCAUCAAAAUCUCCUCCCUCGGAAUUAACCGCCAUGCCCUCAUCUUCCUCACAAGAACGGAGAGGAGAGGACAUUAUAUCCCGAGAGCCGCACAAAUCCAUCCAACAUGGCUACCUUGAUAUUCUUAAAGGCCCCCCACCGAUGGAUAAAACUAUUUUGGAGCUAAAGGCUUUGCGUUACUUGGGCUGUCUGACUUGAAGGGAGGCUAAGAAGGUGGGGGGAGAGGAGCUCUGCAGCAGCCAUGCCCAGAUUUACAUCAGAUGUUGCUUAAAAAUUAACUGUUUCAUGUUUGAAGGCAUUUGUUUGGCAUGAUUUUUAUUUUAUUUAAUGUUCUAUUAAUAUAUUGAUUUUUUUUACAACACAUUUUAGACAAUGCAAUUCUGUGUUAGAGGAAAGUAAAUCAGUUGUUUCUUGCACAGGAUUUAGGAAAUUGUAAAGCAAAAAAAAAAACAUCCGAACACAAACUCCUGAAGAAUCCGCUGACAGCAAAUUUAUUAUUGUUUUUGAAAUAAAUAGGUUGUAUUCUCUUAAAGGAUACACUUUCACUUUUGAUACUUGAGAAUGGUGAAACCUUUGUGAAAUUAAUCCACUUGAAUUAUAUUCUGCAUUACCACAAUAAAAUUCCAACAUAAAAUAAUAUAAUAGGAUGAAGCUGUCAUUAAAGUAUUGUUAAAAUAAACUGC